CAAAAGCUCUCAAAGCCCAAGAAAGUGCAAAAACAAAAGAAAAAGAAAAAAAUGAUGAAUCGAGAAAAAUAAAGAAAAAUAAAAAUCGAAUACUCGAAGAUUCAAAAGAAAAAGCACGAAAAAGGACAGUCGGUAAGAAAAUAAAGAAAUAAGAAAAGAAAAUCGAGGAAAUAAAAGAAACCAACACACAAUGUAACAUCGACUCUGAACCAAAAGCCCCUUGUUUUCCUUUUUUUUUGAAUUCAUACCCUAAACCAAGCCAAGCUACAACCCAAAAGACCUCAAAAGUGUGUGUGUUAUGUGUAAGUGAUGAGAAAAGAGAGACUAUUCAAACUUGUGAGUGAUAUUGCAUACUUUGAAUUAUGAGUGUAAA
rnacentral:lncRNA from 1 species